rnacentral:rRNA from 1 species
AAGAUAAUUAUUAUUAAUUUAUAAAUUAUGUAUUAUUAAUAAAAAUAAUUUUAUUAAUUUAAGUUUUAGUAUAUUUUAUUGAAAUAAUAGUUUUAAUUAUAGAGAAUUAAGUAUAGUAGUAGAAAUUUGAAAUAUUUAUAAUUUAAAAAAAAGUAAAAUUGGUUUUUUGUACCUUGUGUAUCAGGGUUUAUUAAAUAAAGAUUAUUUAAUUAAUUUUCCCGAAUUUAAGAGAGAGAAUAAAUAAUUUUUUUUAUUGUAAAAAAAAUAUUUAUAAUUAUUUAUUAGAAAUGAAAAGUUAUUCGUUCUUAAAUAUAUCUGGUUUAUAAAGAAAUAAAUUUAAUUUAGUUAAUUUUAUUUUAUUAAUUUAUUUUUAGAAAUUAAUAAAUUUAAUUAAUAAUAGUUGAAGGGAUAAGCUUUUGAUUAAAGUUCUAAAAUAAUUUUUAAAAUUUAAAUUUUAUAGGUUUAGAAAUAUUCAUUAUUAAUAGUAUGUUGUAAUAAAGUUUAUAAUCGUUAUUAUUUUAUAGUUAUUUAGGUUUUUAUUUAUAAAUAAUAAAUAAUAAUUAAUUAUUAGUUAUUAUGAUAAAAUUAGUAUAUAUAAAUAUUUAAAUAAUAUUAGAAAUUUAGAUUAUUAAAAGGAAUUCGGCAAAUAUAUUAUUCGCCUGUUUAAUAAAAACAUGUCCUUUAGAAUCAAUAAUUUAAGGUCUAACCUGCCCAUUGAAAUAUUUAAAAGGCCGCAGUAAUUUGACUGUGCAAAGGUAGCAUAAUCAUUAGUUUUUUAAUUAAAAGCUUGUAUGAAUGGUUGGACGAGAUAAAAGCUGUCUCAUAAUAAUUUAUAGAAUUUAAUUUUUAAGUUAAAAAGCUUAAAUAUGAAUAAAAGACGAGAAGACCCUAUAGAUCUUUAUAAAAAUUUUUUUAAUAUUAAUUAGGAUUUAUUAAUUUAUUAAUUUUUUUUUUAUUUUAUUGGGGUAAUAAGGAGAUUUAAAUAAUUCUUUUUUAAUUAUACAAUAAUUAUUGGUUAAAAUGAUCCAUAAAUUAUGAUUAUAAGAUUAAGUUACCUUAGGGAUAACAGCGUAAUUUUUUUAGAGAGUUCAUAUUGAUAAAAAAGUUUGCGACCUCGAUGUUGGAUUAAAAGUAAUCUUAGGUGCAGAAGUUUAAGAUUUUGGUCUGUUCGACCAUUUAAUUUUUACAUGAUCUGAGUUUAAACCGGUGUAAGCCAGGUUGGUUUCUAUCUUUAUUAGUUUAAAAUAUUUUAGUACGAAAGGACCAAAUAUUUAAUAUAUAAUAUUUAAAUUUUGAAUAAUAUU